rnacentral:rRNA from 1 species
GAGCGGAUGACAGGAGCUUGCUCCUUGAUUCAGCGGCGGACGGGUGAGUAAUACCUAGGAAUCUGCCUGGUAGUGGGGGACAACGUUUCGAAAGGAACGCUAAUACCGCAUACGUCCUACGGGAGAAAGCAGGGGACCUUCGGGCCUUGCGCUAUCAGAUGAGCCUAGGUCGGAUUAGCUAGUUGGUGGGGUAAUGGCUCACCAAGGCGACGAUCCGUAACUGGUCUGAGAGGAUGGUCAGUCACACUGGAACUGAGACACGGUCCAGACUCCUACGGGAGGCAGCAGUGGGGAAUAUUGGACAAUGGGCGAAAGCCUGAUCCAGCCAUGCCGCGUGUGUGAAGAAGGUCUUCGGAUUGUAAAGCACUUUAAGUUGGGAGGAAGGGCAGUAAGUUAAUACCUUGCUGUUUUGACGUUACCGACAGAAUAAGCACCGGCUAACUCUGUG